AUACAUAGUUAAUCCAAUAUAUUGUCAGGGGGUGGCGGCGGGGGACCCUAUAUUCGGACGGUUGUUUGUACAUCGCCUAAUACAGGGGUUCGGAACAAUGUACCUUUAACGCGCAUCACCUGUGUGUGCAUAUGAAACAAGGGA
ensembl:ncRNA F41C6.12 ncRNA